UUGGUCACCGGCGCUGAGACACCGCCAGCUGUCUGUGACCCAGCCCCUACGGCGGCUGAGUCCUUCCCUUCCCCUCGAUUAAACUUCCGCGAUGGGCAUCACCUCUGCUCUCCUCCAAGACGGUUCGGAAGCAGGAACUUCUGCUCCUAACCCCAGGCCCACCACUUUCCCCUCAAACCACCGGGAUAAAGUUAGGGCCACAGUCUUCGGAUUUUCUCGCCACGCAGGACAGUACCCGGCCAGCUCCGGGACGUUUCGGUUCCCCAAGACCGACGCGGGUUCGUGAAGCCCCCGCGCCCUUGCCAAGACCAGGCUGCGAUCCGGGUCCGGGCCUCGAAUCCAGACGGGUUCUGGAGGGGUCCCGGAGGGGCCCGGGGCACGACCUGACCGGCCGCUACCACAGGUGUCCCUCUGGACUCGGCGGACAGGACGGUAAAUACACAGGAGUGGAAUAGCUGGUUGUAAGUUCAUCAAAAACUAGGAUCAGUGUGACUACCCUGACACCAACAUACUGGGAGAACCCAAUAUGUGGCAAGGCCCUGGUGGAUGAGAAGCCAUGUGGAAAGAGAGAGGCCAAGGAGCCCCAAGGCAACAGACAGGUGCAUGAAGAAGCCAUCUAGCAAGAAGAUCCUUCCAGCCUGAGCCAGUCAAGCCAGCCCCCUAGUUGAGUCCUUCCUGAAUUCCUGACCCACAUAAAACCUAAUAUCAAACCAUUAUAAUAUAAAUUAGAAAAGGGGUUAAAAUGGUCCCCCUCCUCUUUUUUUUUACACUAGACUCCAAAAGAGGAACUUAUUUUCUUAUCUUACAAAAAGUUCUUUGUUGAAACAUACUUUCAAUGGAAAACUAUCAAAUUGUUAAAAAGAGAAGGGGGGCAGCAGCCUCUCUAAGAGAAUUUAUAAGAAACUGUAAUAGUGAUUGCUUCUGGAAAGGAUAACCAAGGCUUGGGAGACAGGGAUAGGAGAGAGAGUUACAUUUCACCAUCUACCGUUUUGAACUGUUUGAUUCUUACAAAUAUAUGCCUGUAUCAUUUAGUGAAAUAAAUAUUUUCAAAAUUA